rnacentral:rRNA from 1 species
GGAUGGCUUAGAAGCAGCCAUCCUUUAAAGAAAGCGUAAUAGCUCACUAGUCGAGUCGGCCUGCGCGGAAGAUGUAACGGGGCUAAACGUAGAACCGAAGCUGCGGACGCAUUUAUGCGUGGUAGAGGAGCGUUCUGUACGCCUGCGAAGGUGAGUCGAGAGGCUUGCUGGAGGUAUCAGAAGUGCGAAUGCUGACAUGAGUAACGACAAAGGGGGUGAAAAACCCCCUCGCCGGAAGACCAAGGUUUCCUGCCCCAUGCUAAUCAGGGCAGGGUUAGUCGGCCCCUAAGGUGAGGCUGAAAAGCGUAAUCGAUGGGAAACGGGUUAAUAUUCCCGUACUUGUUGUAACUGCGAUGGAGGGACGGAGUAGGCUAGGCGAGCGCAGCGUUGGUUGUCUGCGUUUAAGCUAGUAGGCUGAGAUCUUAGGCAAAUCCGGGAUCUUAAGGCUGAGAGGUGAUGACGAGUCCUCUUUUGGACGAAGUCGUUGAUGCCAUGCUUCCAAGAAAAUCUUCUAAGCUUCAG